CCUACGGGUGGCAGCAGUGGGGAAUAUUUGUCAAUGGACGCAAGUCUGAACCAGCCAUGCCGCGUGCAGGAAGAAGGCUCUAUGAGUUGUAAACUGCUUUUGUACGAGGGUAAACGCAGAUACGCGUAUCUGUCUGAAAGUAUCGUACGAAUACGGAUCGGCUAACUCCGUUCCAGCAGCAGCGGUAAUACGUAGGAUUCAAGCGUUAUCCGGAUUGAUUGGGCUUAAAGGGUGCGUAGGCGGUCUGAUAAGUUAGAGGUGAAAUCCCUGGGCUCAACUUCGGAAUUGCAUCUGAUACUGUUAGACUAGAGAGUAGUUGAGGUAGGCGGAAUGUAUGGUGUAGCGGUGAAAUGCUUAGAGAUCAUAAAGAACACCGAUGGCGAAGGCAGCUUACCAAGCUACUUCUGACGUUGAGGCACGAAAGCGUGGGGAGCAAACAGGAUUAGAUACCCCAGUAGUC
rnacentral:rRNA from 1 species